rnacentral:rRNA from 1 species
AUGGCGUCAACAUCAGAUAUCGAGACGACAAACCCCGGGAGCAUGUGGGAGCUCGAUCAGGAUCUUGAUGUGCCCAUGGAUGAGGAGGCUAGCAGGCUCAAGAACAUGUACAUAGAAAAGAAGUUUUCAUCAGUUUUGUUACUAAGGCUUGCAUUUCAGAGCCUUGGUGUAGUCUUUGGCGACUUGGGUACAUCGCCAUUGUAUGUUUUCUACAAUAUAUUUCCGCAUGGGGUCGACAAUGACGAGGAUGUUAUUGGAGCUCUUUCAUUGAUCAUUUACACCCUCACGCUCAUUCCUCUGAUGAAGUAUGUCUUUGUUGUCUUACGGGCAAAUGAUAAUGGUCAAGGCGGCACUUUUGCUCUUUAUUCUCUACUUUGCCGGCAUGCAAAGGUCAGCACUAUACCCAAUCAACAUAAGACUGAUGAAGAACUAACGACAUAUAGCCGGCAAACUUAUGAGGAGAAUUCGCUUGCAGCAAAAGUGAAGAGAUGGCUAGAGGGGCACGCAUAUAAAAAGAACUGUCUUCUUAUUCUUGUUCUUAUUGGUACCUGUACUGCCAUUGGAGAUGGGAUCCUUACUCCUGCUAUCUCAGUUCUCUCUGCAACUGGUGGAAUACGAGUUCAGAAUCCGAAGAUGAGUACAGAUGUGGUUGUAAUCGUCGCGGUGACCAUAUUAAUCGGAUUAUUCAGCAUGCAGCACUAUGGUACAGAUAAAGUUGGGUGGCUCUUCGCACCUUUAGUGUUCCUUUGGUUUAUUCUUAUUGGGAGCGUCGGGGCAUUCAACAUACACAAGUAUAACAGUUCAGUUCUAAAAGCAUAUAAUCCAGUCUAUAUCUACCGGUUUCUCCGACGAGCGAAGUCUGAGAUCUGGACCUCUCUUGGAGGAGUUAUGCUUAGCAUCACAGGGACCGAAGCAUUAUUUGCUGAUCUAUGCCAUUUCCCUGUUUUGGCUAUUCAGAUUGCUUUCACGCUAGUGGUGUUCCCUUGCCUUCUCCUUGCGUACACUGGGCAGGCUGCUUAUAUUAUUGUCCACAAGGAUCAUGUAGUUGAUGCCUUCUAUCGCUCCAUUCCAGAUACCAUAUAUUGGCCAGCCUUCAUCAUUGCAACUCUUGCAGCAAUAGUUGCAAGUCAAGCCACCAUAUCUGCUACCUACUCGAUUAUAAAGCAGGCUCUUGCGUUGGGUUGUUUUCCCCGUGUCAGUGUUGUGCACACUUCAAAAAAAUUCCUUGGGCAGAUUUACAUCCCUGACAUUAAUUGGGUACUUAUGAUUCUUUGCAUUGCUGUGACUGCUGGAUUUAAGAACCAAAUCCAGAUUGGAAAUGCAUACGGCACAGCAGUUGUGAUAGUUAUGCUGGUAACAACGUUCCUCAUGGUCCCAAUAAUGCUGCUAGUAUGGAAGAGCCACUGGAUCCUUGUUGUCACCUUUCUUGUGCUCUCGUUGAUGGUGGAGUUCCCAUACUUCAUAGCCUGCAUCAAUAAGGUGGAUGAAGGUGGUUGGGUCCCACUUGCCGUUGCAAUCACCUUCUUUAUCAUCAUGUACGUGUGGCAUUUCUGCACCGUGAAGCAGUAUGAGUUUGAGAUGCACAGCAAGGUUUCCAUGGCCUGGAUUCUAGGACUCGGGCCGAGCCUCGGUCUUGUUAGGGUUCCUGGGAUCGGCUUUGUGUACACCGAGUUGGCAAGUGGUGUUCCGCAUAUCUUCUCCCAUUUCAUCACUAACCUCCCUGCCAUCCACUCCGUGGUCGUCUUUGUGUGUGUCAAGUACCUUCCGGUGUACACUGUCCCAGUUGAAGAACGGUUUGUCAUGAAGAGGAUCGGGCCAAAGAACUUUCACAUGUUCCGCUGUGUCACGAGGUACGGGUACAAGGACAUCCAAAAGAAGCACGACGACUUUGAGAAGAUGCUUCUUGACAGGCUCCUGAUCUUUGUCAGACUUGAGAGCAUGAUGGAUGGCUAUUCUGAUUCCGAGGACUUCACGGUGUCGGAGCAAAAGGUCGAGAGAUCCACCAACGCGUUGCUGAUGAGCGAAAAGGCUGGAAGCAACACAUUGUGCUCCGGGAGUGACCUGAGCUACUCAUCAUCACAUGAUUCCAUUGUGCUGGCCAAGUCGCCGCUAACAGGAAACAACAGCCUAACAAGGUAUUCCAGCCAAACAUACCGUGACGAACUGGAGUUCCUCAACAGCUGUAAGGACGCGGGCGUCGUGCACAUCCUCGGCAACACCAUUGUGCGCGCGCGCAGGGAUUCAGGGAUCAUCAAGAGGAUUGUUGUGGAUCACCUGUAUGCCUUCCUCAGGAAGGUCUGUAGAGAACACAGCGUGAUAUUCAAUGUCCCUCAUGAAAGCCUUCUCAACGUAGGCCAGAUCUACUAUAUCUGA